rnacentral:rRNA from 1 species
AGAGUUUGAUCAUGGCUCAGAAUCAACGCUGGCGGCGCGCUUAACACAUGCAAGUCGCACGAGAAAGCAGGAGCAAUCCUGUGAGUAAAGUGGCGUACGGGUGAGUAACACGUGGAUCAUCUACCUUCUAGUGGGGCAUACCUCUGGGAAACCGGAGAUAAUUCCGCAUAAGCUCGUGAGAGGAAAGCAGCAAUGCGCUGGAAGAGGAGUCCGCGGCUGAUUAGCUAGAUGGCGGGGUAAUGGCCCACCAUGGCGAAGAUCGGUAGCCGGCCUGAGAGGGCACACGGCCACACUGGCACUGAAACACGGGCCAGACUCCUACGGGAGGCAGCAGUGGGGAAUCUUGCACAAUGGAGGCAACUCUGAUGCAGCGACGCCGCGUGAGCGAUGAAGCCCUUCGGGGUGUAAAGCUCUUUCGACGGGAAAGAUUAUGACGGUACCCGGAGAAGAAGCUGCGGCUAACUACGUGCCAGCAGCCGCGGUAAUACGUAGGCAGCGAGCGUUGUUCGGAAUUACUGGGCGUAAAGAGUGUGUAGGCGGUGUUCCAAGUCUGGUGUGAAAUCUCCCGGCUUAACUGGGAGGGUGCGCCGGAAACUGGAAUGCUCGAGGGUGGGAGAGGUAAGCGGAAUUCCUGGUGUAGCGGUGAAAUGCGUAGAUAUCAGGAGGAACACCUGUGGUGUAGACAGCUUACUGGACCACUUCUGACGCUGAGACACGAAAGCGUGGGUAGCAAACAGGAUUAGAUACCCUAGUAGUCC